rnacentral:lncRNA from 1 species
UCAUUUUGUUGCAAAGCUAGCCUUCUGUUUACCCUAGUUAAGAAAAGGGAAAAGAAGAAGAAAAAGGUAGAGAAAACUAAUACAUAUAAAAUAAACUACUUACCCCAAGAACUUGAGUCAAGCUGACUGAUUCGAUCUCGGAACAAAAACAGCCUAAGACAUACAUUAAGCAGUAGGAAACAUAUUCACAGCUAAUACCGACCUAUCAAUGAAACUCCUUAUCUUGUGUGUCCCUAAUCAAGCCUGCACCCUGCUUUAUUUUUCCUUAAAAGAACUCUUGAUUGAUGCUGCUCCAUUCCGACCAAACUGCAAUGAACAGAUGAUAUAUGAACCCAAGACUUAUUACCUUGCUCUGAUUUUUGACAAAUUAAGGAAAGCUAUGACUCUUUGUAAUAUCAGUACCUGGCAUUCUUAUAAUCAUUGGCACUAAGAGAGCUUCUCCUAUGGAUGUCAAACGAGCAGAAACUUUUAUGUUAACAAUACUUACAUAUAAGCCUAUGAAAUUUUUUUUUUUUGAAGGGCCAUAUAAAUUAUGAUUUAAUGUACCACAGACAAAUCAAUUCUUAUUUAACUGCAUGGUUAUCUAUAGGACUCAAACUAUGUUACUCAAACAUGACAACAAGUUGGCCUUUUGCAAACUUUCAAAUUUGAAAUAUCAACAAGUGCAUUUUUUUAUUUGAAACGCAUGGAUUGUUACACUAUCUACAAAGAUGGAACUUAGCUGUUGUGGCUGCAUGAUCCUAUGGUAUGCUCCUGGAGCAAUUUGUGUAUGGACCUCCUCUGCUUUUGGCAUAUCUAAUCUCUUGAUUAGUUUUGUUUGACUUUAGAACUAGGCUGUUGUUUCAUCAUGCAACACCAAUAUGGCAUUAUUUGUCCAUUGGUUGCAUACUGAUUUUUUUAUUUCAUUUGGUCCCAUUAAAUAAGAAUCUUUACUGUCUUAGCCACAAUGUUGAGCAUCAUUGCUUCUCAAAAGAAAAAAAAUUUUGAGUGUCAUUAGUUACCUAGUUGAUACCCAUCCAGUGUCAAUUUCUGGAGUAGGUGAGGUAGAAUUAUUCUUUUUGGGUUAGCCUAAUGAAGGAUGCGGAUAUCAUCCGCAAGAGGGCAGAUAUAUGUAUAACAUAUUUAUCAAUCAUCUGGAGAUAAGAUCAAUACCUGUUGUCAAUGCAUGCACUGGUGUGCAUGUUUGAUGCUAAUGAAAGUGGUGACAGGGAUAACUUUUCCUUCAUCUUAAUAUUAGCUAACAAUGUACAUUUGCGAUGCAGGUGGGACACUAAACUAAAAGGACCACACUUUUCACCUUUCACUCUCUGCUUGUUGUGCUACUCAAAGACCGGCAACUGCACUGUGUAUUGGAUAAUACUCAUGGCAAAAUCUUUUUCAAUUUUAUAGUUAAGGUUCAUUGAUCCUGUAUCUAGAGUUCUCAGGCUUGCUAGUACAGCAUUAAGACCACAUACUAAAUUUUUCGGGGUAUUGUUUAACGUGAGAUGCUAUAUACCGAGAGUGAUGUAUGUCCAGAGUAUUGUCUGGACUGUUAUAGGAUACGCACCAAGCAUUUUGAUGUUAAUGAAGUUAUUUCCCCUAUCCAAAAAAUUAAAGAAAGGUAAAUGCAGUCUUUGUUUUGAAAAGUUAGCAUAUCUUAAGGUCAUCUAUCUUCAAAUUUUGUAUUCUACCAUUAAAUGUUAAUCUUGGUUGUAGCCGUGCCUUGAUGAGAACGAGCAUUGGAUUGUAUCCAGUAGCAUUUGUAGUUUCUGAUAUUCUGUUAGCACAAAGUUUUCAGAGGUUUGGUGAAUGCUGUCAUGAUGUUUCAAGCGAGUCGAGGGUCUCUAUAAUUCCCCCUCGCUCCUAGCAAAUGCUGGGCAUGUAUGAUAAUAUGCAAUCGAAAGACAUCCUAAUCCUAUUAUGACGGCAACAUCAGGCUAGAAAAGGACAUCCUAAUCCUUUUAUGACGGCAACAUCAGGCUAGAAAAGUUUGUGGUGGAUGUAGGCCUCGUGUGUCAUGACCAGGGAUAUCAAUGGCAUCAUGGUUAGAGUUUGUGAAACCCACAGCAAACUCUGUUUUAAUCAUAGACCACAUUUGGCCAACAAAGAAUCCACUUACACAUUGUGAGAGAAGAGAAAUGGAUGUUGAAGUUCCUGUUAUGUAUUAACCAACCCUUACAAGAAUAGGCUUUUCAGUCAAGCAGUAGAGGAAUCCACGAGGGGUUCAGAGUUGGAUUCAUUUGAAAUAUACCAGGCUUAAAAUAUUUAUAUGAAAAUCAAUUCUAUACAAAUACUACUAAUUCACUUGUGGAUACUCCGCAAUAUUUUUAUUCAAGAACCAAAAGAGUGCAUGUCAGAGUGGUCUGUUCACCGGGCUGCACACAACACAAUCUAGAGAAAUGAAAUCAUAACAAUUUUCUUUUUUGAGUAAAUAAAUUCCAUAGACUGCAUCAGCCUCGCAACAGUUGUAGCUUCUCGUCAUGACAUUUUAUGCUUGUAGCAUCAUUUCGUGUACCUCUGUAAAACAAAAUUUCCACACUAAAGAUUAAAGUGCUUAAUAAUAGGCCAUCCUACAACCUCUGGUUUAGCUCUUCUUCUUCUUUCGUUUCCUCGGGGAAGGGUGAUUAGAAUCAGGUGGUAGUUGCAUGCUUGCAGCUAUGAGAUUUUGAUUCAGACAAGAAUGUUUAAUCUAUUUUCUUACUGGAAGAUAAUGAUCACUCAACUUCUAUGUUGCAUCAAAGGAUGCUGGAGUUCAUUGCAGCUAUAUCCUUUUAUAAAUUAGUCGGACUAAAAUGCCAUCUUCAAUCUUACAUUUCAGAAAAUGGUGUCUGCAAUCAUAUGGAUGCAGCUAAUUCCCCGCAAGAUAUAAUCAUUCACAUAUAUCAGUCCUGUCCGAUGUGCUUGAUCUUGUUCAGGUAGCUGUUGUUUGAGGCCAUUGUCCGGAGUUAAUCAUUCUUCGUUGGUUUCUGAUCCACAGUCAACAAAUUAAGGGAAUGAUUCACCCUGAAAUUAGAAAAGAAGGGGAAAAUUAAGUGCAAGAUACCAAAAGACGUAAAAAUAUAUUGGUAAAUGGAAUUAAUGUCCUCUUGCAUCAAGAGAAAGAAAAGAAAGUGAGUAAAGGAAAUAGACCAUGGCUAAUUAUAGCCAGGGAAAGAUAUUGUCCAGCCUGAAUAAGCCUGAUGGGAGUCAAUGGCGUCUCCAAUCUCCUCUAUAUGGUUUUGGCAGUUAUGUAGACAGUGUCUUUGGCUUAUUCUUAAGACUAAAAACGGAUCAACUGCUUAGUGCUCACAUACUUGAGUUGGGUGAGUGAAAAGUGACGUGUAGAGAGCUGAAUUGAGAAGCUGUAGUUAGUGACACAUUCUCAUAGAUCACAUCGAAACAGAAGAUUAUUUUGGAGUGACGGAAGGGCCUAGGAAAUAAACCUUUGUAAUUGUAUCCAAGGCCGGCUUCCAUGCAUCAUGAGUUAUGAUAAUUAAUAUUUGGAAAGCUGAUUUUUCUUUCAAGGAGAUGCCUUUUGCCACUUUCAGAUUUCUCAGUUUCAGCAUUUGCGUGCUCAUCCAGUCGCUUCUAGCGCUGUUAAUUCUGAUUUUGUUGUUGAACAUUUUGCCAUCGUCUCAGCAUCUUUACUCGCUGUCCAGGUCGUACCCUUACGAGUACAAAAUGAAAACCCAGAAGGGCGUGAGUUAUUAUGUUGAGUCAACAAAAUUUGAGCAGAAAUAUCCUGCUAAUAAUCCUGAUCGUGUGAGGUUUGAAGAUCGUGUAAACUUUUUCCCGUCCUCUGAGCCUGUUUAUUCAGUGUCCAGGUCGUAUCCUUAUGAGUACAAGUUCACAACACAGAAGGGUGUGAAUUAUUAUGUGAGGUCAACGAAAUUUGAGCAAGAUUAUCCACUUAAUAGUCCUGAGCGUAUAAAGAUCGAGGAGCGUGUUGAGAGAGAUUAUUAUUCAGUUUUGGCCCAGAAUUGUAGGUUUGAGCUGCAGCGGCAGCAGUGGGGGUUUAUUCGUGAGACGCCACAUUGUGAUUUGUUGCAGAAGUUUCAGUCGGCAGCUUAAUGGCUUCCAUUAAGGUCUUUUCCGUGUUCCUGUAUUUUUUUUUUUUCCAUUUAGGCUAGUAGUAUUCUUUUAGUUUUAAGGGUUUAAAGGAUGUGUGGUUGUUUGCUUGUUUGGAUAUUAGUUUAAGUGCAACAAUUGUGAGCUUAGGCAUGCAUCGUCCAUGGAUAUUGAUUUAACUAAAGAAUAAUAAAGUGAUUCUGAUAGUGUCUAUUUGCUAUAAAAAUGUAGAUAUUGAAGCAUCUGGGUUUAUAUAGUUUGAUACUUUGGUACUUAGUCAUGCAUAUUGAUAUUGGUUUUCUAAAGUAACCUUAUUGACAACAAGAGUAUAUGUUGUUAACUUUCAUGAUGGUAAAAAUGUAAAUGUGGUUCAGUUCGAGUUGAAGCAAUUUCUGUUCUGUUUCUAAAAUCUGCCCAAGUUCUUUCAAACUUCCUUCUGCUGCACAGUGAAAAUAGGGCAUUCUUCUUUCUUAAAGCAGUUUUUUGCAGCGCUACAUGCUACGUAUGUUUUAGAAUCAUGUUUGUUGGUACUAGGGUGAGUAUUAGGACUUUUCGAACCAUUGGAAAUAAUGCCUCGUCUUUUCGUUUUGUUGCAAAGCUAGCCUUCUGUCUACCCUAGUUAAAAAAAGGGCGGAAGAAGAAAAAGGUAGGGAAAACUAGUACAUAUAAAAUAAACUACUUACCCCAGGAAUUUGAGUCAAGCUGACUGAUUCGACCUCAGAACAAAAACAGACUAAGACAUACAUUACUUACCCCAAGAAUUUGAGUCAAGCUGACUGAUUCGACCUCGGAACAAAAACAGCCUAAGACAUACAUUAAGCAGCUAGGAAACAUAUUCACAGCUAAUACCCACCUAUCAACGAAACUCCUUAUCUUGCGUGUCCCUAAUCAAGCCUACACCCUGCUUUAUUUUUCCUUAAAAGAACUCUUUGAUUGGUGCUGCUCCAUUCCAACCAAACUGCAAUGAACAGAUGAUAUAUGAACCCAAGACUUAUUAUCUUGCUUUGAUUUUUGACAAAUUAAGGAAAGCUAUGACUCUUUGUAAUAUCAGUACCUGGCAUUCUUAUAAUCAUUGGCACUAAGAGACAGCUUCUCCUAUGAAUGUUAAAUGAGCAGAAACUUUUAUGUUAACAAUACUUACAUCUAAUCUUAUGAAUUUUUAUUUUUCUUUUUUGAAGGGCCAUAUAAUCCUAUGAUUUAAUGUACCACAAACAAAUCAAUUCUUAUUUCACUGCAUGGUUAUCUAUAUUACUCAAACAUAUGUAACUCAAACAUGACAACAAGUUGGCUUUUUUCAAACUUUCAGAUUUGAAACAUCAACAAGGGCAUUUUUUUAUUUGAAACGCAUGGAUAGUUACAUUAUCUACAAAGAUGGAACUUAGCUGUUGUGGUUGCAUGAUCCUAUGGUCUGCUCCUGGAGCAAUCUGUGUAUGGACCUCCUCUGCUUUUGGCUUAUCUAAUCUCUUGAUUAGUUUUGCUUGACUUUAGAACUAGGCUGUUGUUUCAUCAUGCAACACCAGUAUGGCAUUAGUGGCCCAUUUGUAGCAUACUGAUUUUUUUAUUUCAUUUGGUCCCAUUAAAUAAGAAUCUUUACUGUCUUAGCCACAAUUUUGAGCGUCAUUGCUUCUCAAAAGAAAAAAAAUUGAGUGUCAUUAGUUACCUGGGGGAUACCCAUCCGGUGUCAAUUUCUAGAGUAGGUGAGGUAGAAUUAUUCUUUGUUGGUUAGCCUAAUGAAGGAAGCGGAUAUCAUAAGCAAGAGGGCAGAUAUAUGUAUAACAUAUUUAUCAAUCAUCUGGAGAUGAGAUCAAUACCUGUUGUCAAUGCAUGCACUGGUGUGCAUGUUUGAUGCUAAUGAAAGUGGUG